AUCACUUCUCGGCCUUUUGGCUAAGAUCAAGUGUAGUAUCUGUUUAAAAUGUCUAUUUCAUCAAUUUUCUGAUAAAAACCUUU
rnacentral:snRNA from 1 species